CGUGUAGGCGGUUUGUACAGUCAGAUGUGAAAUCCCCGGGCUUAACCUGGGAGCUGCAUUUGAGACGUGCAGACUAGAGUGUGAGAGAGGGUUGUGGAAUUCCCAGUGUAGAGGUGAAAUUCGUAGAUAUUGGGAAGAACACCGGUGGCAAAGGCGGCAACCUGGCUCAUUACUGACGCUGAGGCGCGAAAGCGUGGGGAGCAAACA
rnacentral:rRNA from 1 species